rnacentral:rRNA from 1 species
CACGUAGGGGGCGAGCGUUGUCCGGAAUUAUUGGGCGUAAAGCGCGUGUAGGCGGCUUUGCAAGUCGGGUGUGAAAGCCCUCAGCUUAACUGAGGAAGUGCGCCCGAAACUGCAUGGCUUGAGUACCGGAGAGGAUGGUGGAAUUCCCGAAGUAGAGGUGAAAUUCGUAGAUAUCGGGAGGAACACCGGUGGCGAAGGCGACCAUCUGGACGGAUACUGACGCUGAGACGCGAAAGCGUGGGUAGCAAACAGG